rnacentral:lncRNA from 1 species
ACAAUAGAGUGUAUCAGAAAAUAGAAAAAAAUCUAAGACAAAGGGUUGGAAGAAAAAACUAAGGGGGAGAUUGAAUAAAUGAACAAUACCUAUAAUUUUAAUUAUAGAGAAUUAUAGAUAAUGAGGGAAAGAUUGAAUAAAUGAACAAAAGAAGAAACGGAGAAACGAAACCCUGAAAAGGAGAUUGUAAUAUUUAUUAUUAGGUUUAAUAGGUUCGGAGGUCCCUAUAUUUGGGGUUUGUUUCAAUUGGGUCCUCGAAUUUUGAAAGUGAUCAAUUAGGUUCCUAAUUUUGUCAAUUUGAAUCAAUAAAAGUCUUUCCGUUAAAUGCAGUUAACGCCGUGAAGUUUUUGAACAUGUGGCACGCUGACGCUUCUAGAUGGCACAGUUUCAAGUGCAUAGGUGGAUUAUAAAAGGGUGAAAUCCCUUUAAU